CAGGGGGUAUUUUAUUUAAAAUGUUAAUUUUGGGGAUUAAUGAAAUGGCACUAUGCGCCUUUCCUCUGA
rnacentral:tRNA from 1 species